rnacentral:misc_RNA from 1 species
GAUAUUUUUAAAACUCCGAUAUCUACUGGAAACGGUUUCUUUCACCCCGAAGAACAAGCUCUCUACGCUCUUUCUACUUCAGCUUCUUCACAAGCUGAAGAAAAAAACAAAAACUUUCUUUUGUUUGAUGUCGUAAGUUAAGGUGUGGAAUGCCACAUGGUGACGAUGUCUAAAAUGAUUUGACUGAAAGACAUUUUCUGGUAUAAUGUUUUUUUAUGGAAGUGUUUAAAUUCUGUUGAUCACUGGACAUCACCCGCUGAUUAACCUUGACAUCUUCUGAUUUAACGUUUUUUAUGUAAGUGUUUAAAUUCUUCUCUUCAUCACUGGACAUCACCUGCUGAUUAACCUUGACAUCUUCUAAUUUAAUGUUUUUUAUGGAAGUG